CUACGGGACGCACCAGUGGGGAAUUUUGUACAAUGGGGGAAACCCUGAUGCAGCGACGCCGCGUGCGGGAAGAAGGCCUUAGGGUUGUAAACCGCUUUCAAUUGUGAAGAAGGGAUGAGAGUUAAUAGCUUUCUGACUUGACGGUAGCAUUAGAAGAAGCACCGGCUAAUUUCGUGCCAGCAGCCGCGGUAAUACGAAAGGUGCAAGCGUUGUUCGGAUUUACUGGGCGUAAAGAGAUCGUAGGUGGUUUAUUAAGUCGGAUGUGAAAUCCCGGAGCUCAACUUCGGAACUGCAUUCGAUACUGGUAGGCUAGAGUUCGGGAGGGGAAAGCGGAAUUCCGUGUGUAGCAGUGAAAUGCGUAGAUAUACGGAGGAACACCUGAGGCGAAGGCGGCUUUCUGGACCGAUACUGACACUGAGGAUCGAAAGCGUGGGUAGCAAACAGGAUUAGAUACCCUAGUAGUC
rnacentral:rRNA from 1 species